rnacentral:rRNA from 1 species
GAUGAACGCUGGCGGCGUGCCUAAUACAUGCAAGUCGAGCGAACAGACGAGGAGCUUGCUCCUCUGACGUUAGCGGCGGACGGGUGAGUAACACGUGGAUAACCUACCUAUAAGACUGGGAUAACUUCGGGAAACCGGAGCUAAUACCGGAUAAUAUAUUGAACCGCAUGGUUCAAUAGUUAAAGACGGUUUUGCUGUCACUUAUAGAUGGAUCCGCGCCGCAUUAGCUAGUUGGUAAGGUAACGGCUUACCAAGGCAACGAUGCGUAGCCGACCUGAGAGGGUGGUCGGCCACACUAGAACUGAGCCACGGUCCAGACUACUAUGGGAGGCAGCAGUAGGGAAUCUUCCGCAAUGGGCGAAAGCCGGACGGAGCAACGCCGCGUGAGUGAUGAAGGUCUUCGGAUCGUAAAACUCUGUUAUUAGGGAAGAACAAAUGUGUAAGUAACUAUGCACGUCUUGACGGUACCGAAUCAGAAAGCCACGGCUAACUACGUG